rnacentral:lncRNA from 1 species
GGCCAGGCUCAGACGGCGGCAGCUGGGCCAGCAGUAGCAGGCCUGCCUGUCUCCUCCUCCCGCACUGCCCUGCCUGCCCAGCAAAGACUCUGCAGACUGUGGUCCCCUCGACUCAAGGGAGAGCUCCACCCUAAGAAGCCUGGGUAGACGGUCCCGGAUCCCCUGCCAGACGCGCUGCCAUGAGGAACCUCUGGCAAAUUUCCAUUGGGAACCUUGAGGGAAGGCAAGGUGGAGAAACAUUCCUAGGACUCCCGCUGCUGCAACGGGAGCCCCGAGCCAGGCCAAGAAAUGACCUGUCCCUCCCCCAGGACCCCGCUCCCACUCCUGCAUCCCCCAGGGUGUUCCGAUUUGGAUGUUGCUUGUCCCACCAGUCAGCCCCUUCCUGGUGCCUGGUCUUUGGGGCCAAAGGGCAAGGCUGGCCAAGCGGUUUGGGAAGCGGGCCCGGGCUCAGGAGCACACUGAGGGCCCUUGGGCAGUGACCUGCCCUCCAACUGUGGCUAUGAUGAGGAAGGCGCAUGCGUGCUGGUUGAGGAGGGAAGACCCCCAUGACCAUGAGCCAGUGUGGGCAGAGGAAUGGGCAGGGGGAGGGGCAGGGGGCAGGUCCUCCCUUAGGAGCCACUACGGGGCAUGAGGCUCCUGUGUCUGCUCGCCUUGGUUCCAGCCAGCAGCUUUGGCUCUUGGAGCCUCAGUUUUGCUAUCCUUAAAAUGGGUGUGAUACAAACGCUAUCUCAGGGUGGCAGCGGGAGUUCAAGGGGACAAGAUGCACACCUCUCAGGGCCCUGCAGGGAGUUCCUGGAAGAUUGACAGCAGGGCGAGGGAGGGAUCUCUCCUUUCCUCGGAGAUGGGGGAGGCAAGGGCUCUCUUUCUGUCCCUGACACCCCCUCCUCAGCUCCUCCUGCCCUCCCUGCUGUCUCAUUAUCUUAGGUGUGAUGGGGGCAUGGUGAGGCCUCCCAGCCACUCCCAGUGCUGGAAGUGCAGGCGUGGGGUGACCAGCUAUUGCACAUGUGACUGCAUGGCUGUGUGUGUACGCAUGUCCCUCCCAACCCCUAUUAGCACAACCAUGGGAACGUGACCGUGCAGCCCAACAGCCAGGGCGCGGGAUACUCGAGAGGGUGGCCCCGGCCUGGGGAUGUCUGUGGUUCUGCUGCUGCUCAUUUCUGAAGCCCCUUCAUGAGUUCUGGGACUCCUGGGGGGAUGGGGCCCACUUAUGAGUCCCUCAGAGGCAUUCAGUGCAAAGUAAAAAUGUGGCCCCCCCUCCAAACGUUCAAAAACGACGAAGACUUUUAAGACGACAACAGCAGAGCAUUAAACCAACAGGCGGCCCUUCUGAGUGUGAGGGUCCCUCUGCGACUGCACAGGUCACACCCCAUGCAGCCGGCCCUGUCCCCUCUGCCCCUCUGCAGCUCAGGUGGGCGGGGCCUGACCACUCCAGCCUGGUCACUCCAGCCUGGCCUUAGACUCUGAGGUGAGUGGUGCCAGGACCUGCCGGUCAGCCUGGAUUCAUCAUAGCCUCUGUUGUCCAGUAGGCUUGGCAAGAAGGGUCUGUGGAAGUUUAUAAAAGUGACACCCCCCAGCCCCCAACCUGGGGAGCAGCCAGGAGCCCUAUGUCAGAAUGUGCGGCCCCUAAUGAAAGUGCUCUUCCAGCCACUCUAUUUAAGCCAGAACUGAGGCUUCCUGGGUGCCUUGCACUGCAGCCAGCCACGUUCCAGGGAGCGGCAGCUCCUCGAACCAGAAGUUCUGAGAUUGAAUCCUGGGACUGUAACCUGGUAACUGCACUAGACAAAUCUGGUUCAACUUUUAUGUAACAAAGUUGUGAGUUGUUUUCAGUUGCCAUGAACCCCCAGGUUGAAGGUCACAUAACCUGGGCAUGCCCAGACACACCAAGCAUGCAGCCAGGGACGGAACCUAAGUGCUCGAGCCAGGAUGCGGGGACUGAAUUAAGAAGUGGACACUGCAUGGCAGGAUCCAGGAUCCAAUCAGAUUGAGCCCUGGCGUCACCCCAUGGCAGGAUCUAAUCAGAUCACACCUCCUGGCAUCACCUGAUGGGAACAGCCAAUCAGAUCACACCUCAUUAUCCUAUGCUUAUAAAACCUGACCUAGCCCCCAGCCGGGAGACAGAUUUGAGUGUUUCCUCCUGUCUCCUUGCCACUCACAGUAAACCUUUCUCGCUGCAAAAACGCAGUGCCUUGGUGUUUGGCUUUCUGCUGCAUGUGGGCAAUAGACCCAGUUCGGUUCAGUGACUGACCUAGUUGGCAGUGAGCUCAGCACAUGACGCAGUGGCUCAGGACUCCACUCAGCAAGUUCCCUGGGACUGCAUCCCUUUAUUGUCCCAUUUUCCAGGGAGGAAACCAAGGCUCACCAUGGCGAAGGGGAUGCCCGUGGUCACAGCGAGUGAGUGGAGGAGCGAGAUCUCUAACCCAGGCGUGUGGCAUACUCGACCCUGAGCACCAAAACAUGCUUGCUAGAACCAUGACAACAACGUCAACAACGACAAAUAACAGUGACUGGGUGUUUGCCGUGUGCCAGGCAUUGUUCUAAGUGCUCCGUGGGAACUACGCUGACCACCCCAUGAAGGAAGUGCUCUUUCAGAUCCCAUUUUGCAAAUGAGGAAACCGAGGCUAGCAAGCAGUCAGACUGGAAUGGGAGCCCAGGAGGCCUGCCUGCAGGAGCCGAGAGCUCACCACUGCACCAUGCAUUUCAUUCAUUAUCCUAUGCUUAGUGUUUAGUGUUUAUCCUACGUUUAGAUGUUUAGUGGACCGUUCUGUCCUCUGACCCCAGCCGACAAGCUCUCCUAGGUUCUGGUGGUGAGAGUUACAUUGGUUUCUAUGAUGUGUAACAAAUUAUCACAA